rnacentral:lncRNA from 1 species
GGGGAGGAGGAGAGGAGGGGGAGGGGAAGAGGGAGGGAGGGAAGGAGCUGGCUCGCUUUCACGCUGUCCCGAGGAAGUCCAAGCCAGCUUAAUGGUGUUUGGUGUCAAUGAGGCUCAUGGUGAAUACAUCAGAGCCCUGCCAAUUCUGGUCAUUGAUCCGAAAGCUUUCCUUGGCAAGGAGGCGAACGCCCGGAUCCAAGUUCUCCCAGACAUUUGCAGGAGUGAGCCAUUUGACGCUUCCCCACUUUGCACAGGUGCUUCCUAUUGACGGAGAAUGCGGCGGGGGGCAGCUCAACACAACCCUGGCUCCUCUUGGAGCUAGGACCCAAUGUGCUGUCAUCUCUAUUCGGAAACAGAAGAGGCCGCGGUGCUGGCGAAUUAGC